rnacentral:rRNA from 1 species
GAUGAACGCUGGCGGCGUGCCUAAUACAUGCAAGUCGAGCGAACGGACGAGAAGCUUGCUUCUCUGAUGUUAGCGGCGGACGGGUGAGUAACACGUGGAUAACCUACCUAUAAGACUGGGAUAACUUCGGGAAACCGGAGCUAAUACCGGAUAAUAUUUUGAACCGCAUGGUUCAAAAGUGAAAGACGGUCUUGCUGUCACUUAUAGAUGGAUCCGCGCUGCAUUAGCUAGUUGGUAAGGUAACGGCUUACCAAGGCAGCGAUGCAUAGCCGACCUGAGAGGGUGAUCGGCCACACUGGAACUGAGACACGGUCCAGACUCCUACGGGAGGCAGCAGUAGGGAAUCUUCCGCAAUGGGCGAAAGCCUGACGGAGCAACGCCGCGUGAGUGAUGAAGGUCUUCGGAUCGUAAAACUCUGUUAUUAGGGAAGAACAUAUGUGUAAGUAACUGUGUACAUCUUGACGGUACCUAAUCAGAAAGCCACGGCUAACUACGUG